UGGUAGUNCACGCCGUAAACGCUGAGUGCUAGGUGUUAGGUCCUUUCCGGGACUUAGUGCCGACGCUAACGCAUUAAGCACUCCGCCUGGGGAGUACGACCGCAAGGUUGAAACUCAAAGGAAUUGACGGGGGCCCGCACAAGCGGUGGAGCAUGUGGUUUAAUUCGAAGCAACGCGAAGAACCUUACCAGGUCUUGACAUCCCGAUGCCCGCUCUAGAGAUAGAGUUUUACUUUUUGUACAUCGGAGACAGGUGGUGCAUGGUUGUCGUCAGCUCGUGUCGUGAGAUGUUGGGUUAAGUCCCGCAACGAGCGCAACCCUUAUUGUUAGUUGCCGUCAUUAAGUUGGGCACUCUAGCGAGACUGCCGGUAAUAAACCGGAGGAAGGUGGGGAUGACGUCAAAUCAUCAUGCCCCUUAUGACCUGGGCUACACACGUGCUACAAUGGUUGGUACAACGAGUCGCAAGCCGGUGACGGCAAGCUAAUCUCUGAAAGCCAAUCUCAGUUCGGAUUGUAGGCUGCAACUCGCCUACAUGAAGUCGGAAUCGCUAGUAAUCGCGGAUCAGCACGCCGCGGUGAAUACGUUCCCGGGCCUUGUACAC
rnacentral:rRNA from 1 species